AAGAGAUGGAUUAAGAAUGCUUUGGAUUAAGGAUUGUGGAGCACAUUUCAAUCAUUUUAGGAUUGUCAAAAGGAGGAUUGAGGAGGAUCAGAUCAAUAAUGGAGGCAAUGGUAUGACUCCAAGUGCUAUUGUCACAGAUGAAAUUGGCAGUAUUGACCUUAUACUAAAAGGCAAGGGUUGAAAGUGAAAAAUAUAUAUAUCUACCUUAAAACACUUGCAAACAUCUUUUGCAGUUAUCAUUAAGCUACAAUUGCUUUGCUCUUUAAACCUUUGCAAUUGUGGCAAAAUAACAUUGCCCAUUUUGUAACUAUUUUGCUCCCUUCCCCCUUUUUUGUUUUAAUAGGGACUAAUGUGGGAAGAACUGGCUAAUUUGUCACAGUGCUUAGUUACAACUGUUAGUGUGUGACCUGCUGUUGGUGUACAUGUGGGUACAGGGUGUCUUUAAUUCCAGUGAGAUAGAGUAUAAUAUCAAUACUGCUAAAUCUGCAUGUCCUCUGUGUGACUGAUAAAAGAGCAUUGCUAUUUCAUUUUUUUAAGACAAAAUGAAAGCAAAAUAUAGAAUGCCAAUGUAUUGGUGUAGAUAAUCUAGUUGGGAGUACUUUUUUAAGUCUCACCUUCCCCUUUAAUACUCAUAAUUGACUCACGUUUAAGACACUUUAAUUUACAAAUUAAAUCGCAGAUGGGAACAUUAGAUUUAGUUUAGACUUAGGUGGGUAACUAUCAGUGAAUUUUUCAACUACAUAACUGUAACCACAAAACCUGUAAUACGCUGUACAGUAACAAGUGUUGGCAUUAUCAGUUGAACUGUAAAUAUAAAAUGCUUCUUCCAGUUAGUCUCUAUGAUGAUUUAAGUUUCUAAAAUUUAUCUGAACACCAUUCAGAAACUUGUUUUGGGGAAUUUGAUAGUUAUUGAUGUACAUCUGUUAAAUGGAUGACAGACAUAACUCAUCAUUCCCCAGAAACCUUUUUUGAUUACAGUAUCUAACAUUUUGCCUCCUCUUUUUUGGUUUUGCUGGUUAUAAAGGUUUGGAUUGGAGAGGGCUCACUGGAUCCCAAUCCUUGGAGCUGGAUCAUUGGAUUCAAAUCAUAAUGUGGAUAGGAUAGGGAGGAUGAAUUACAAGGAUUCAUGGAGCGGGAUCAGAUUACCAGGAACAUAGGAGUGGAUUCCUGCCCCAACCAAACCGCACUCGUGUGGAUUUUUUUUAUUCAACUUAAUUGGCUAUUCCAAAGCUUUUUUUUUCCUAUUUUUGACGAUUGGAGCCCUUAAGAUGCACGAUGGAAUUGUGUUUUGCAUUUUUUGGUAAAAGGAGCAAAGCGAGGACCUGGAGAUAAUACGCUGGAGCAAUCUCCUUGGAAGGAUUCAGCACGAGUAGAUGGUAAACAUUUAAAGGGGUUAAGGGGGGGUUUGUUUAAAAUAGUAAUCAGUAAGUCACUUCUAAAUUUAAAGAAAAAAUUGGAGUUGAAGAAUGAGUAGGUUUCCAAUUGGCUAUUGCCGUUUUUCGUUGAAAAAAUAAACGUUUUUUAAAAAACUAUGCAUGGUUGUCCUUUUUCCUCUUCAUGUAAAAUUUUAACUUGUAACUAUGAAUUCUUUAAGCAACGUAAGAUUGACUCUUGUUUAUGUAUUAAAAGUUUCUUGAAAGGCAGUCUAAUAAAUGCUAUUAGCCGUCUCUUAUGUUAAUUGUGAAAAUCAUAGGAGGAUAACAAGGCAGUUGUAUAUGUAAUGGCAGUUGAGGGGGUGAUCUAGUUUGAAAGCUCUUUGCUAAAAAGUGAUUAAAAACUUGCUGAUGCUGUUUGUUUUGGUAAUCAUUUAUAGACUACAGGCUUGUACAAAAUUAGUUCAUGCAAGUUAACAUUGGCUUGGAAAUAGCCUUUGAGUUUCAGAUUUCUCAAAAAUUGCUAAGUAUGAAAUGUUAACUUUAAGCACAGAUGUAUUAGAACUCACCACAAGUGACAUUUCCUUUUUGAAAUGUGAACAAUAUGGUAGAAGAUUAACUGCUUAUUUGGGUUAAUCUUUGCCUUGUAAACUCUUGCUAACCCUGAAAUUAUUCUGUCCCCAAACUUAGGUAUUCUGUAUCACAGCUGUGAUUAUAUUGUCUACUAAUUUUUAUAUAUUUUGAUAAGAGCCCCUGGAUGCUAAAUUUUUUGUUUUUGGGAUGGGAAAGAGGUGCUUUAUUUUAAAUUCUUAUUUUCUUACAGCUAAUAAGAGCAGUAAACUGUUCUUUUGUAUUCAAUAGGAAUAGCUACAUCUUUAACCUUUCCCUUGGGUGCAGACUGAAUCAGAUGAUUAUUCUGCUGACAUAAUUUAAAACAUAGAGGAAAUGAGACAUCUUGAUAGUGGAAGAAAGGAUUUCCAUGAUAGUUGUAAGAUUACCUAACCAUCACAUUUUAACAAACCAUAUGGAGCAGUGAUGGCAAAUCUUUUAGAGCUUUCAGUGAUAAAAACAGCCUGCCUUGGCAUGAGUUUGCCACACUGCUGUAUACAGUCUAUCCUGUAGAGGGCAUAAGUUCAAAACCAGGAGUUUUGUUUUAGCUUUGUAAAAGAUUGACACAGAUUAAGGGUAAAUAUUUCUAGUUACUGUGUAGGAAUUCAAAAUAUGACCAAGAAGGAAUUGCUUUUAAACUGUUUUGAACAAUUAUAUAUGACAUACUUGCAGUUUUUCAUGUGUAGAAUACAUUUUAAAUGCAAUAUUAGAAAUUGUCACAUAAGACAGUUUUGAAAGGUGAAAAUGAGAUAGACUUAAACCUGGCUUAAUUUAUGUGAAAUGUUUUGGAAGCAGGACCAAAAUAGAGAUAGCAUUUGCGUACAGUUGUCUAUUUAAUCUAUGUUAAAUGAGAGUACUAAAAGGUUUUAAUAGUUUAAACCCCAGAUUGAAAUAAGAUUAAAAAGUAUUCUUUGCUAUUUAGGCUUGAAUUUGAAGAUCAGAGAGGACUUAACUACAGUUACGAAAGGUAGAGGGAUAUAGAUUUUAUGGUUAGAUAAUCAGGCAGCUAAAAGCUGCAAUAAAGGAUAGACUUAUUUUUAGUCAUAGGAAAUGGACCUCUAUGCAUUAGCAGUUAGAAGGAAAUCAUACCCUUUUUGAACUACAAAAACUGCCUUGAAUUUUUCCCCUAUGUGUCUCCUUUAAAUAUUUUAGGGAACUUAUAAGUUUAUUUUCUAACCAAGAAAGCACUUAGGUCUCUUUAAGAAGCAGUAAUUUUUCAUAACCUCAGAUUGAAUAACCCACUUUGCUGUGCAGCCUACAUCCCACUGGAGAAAAAAGAAAGAAAGGGGAGAGAACGUGAAAGGAGAAGUGGAGAGAAGCUGGAGAAGAAGAAAUAGCUGGAAGCUUGGGAAUUGGGGGAUUUACCUAAGACGGUCUUGCUAUGUUCAGGCUAGCCUUGAACUCACUAUGUACCCCCGGCUGGCCUCAAACUCACAAUGGUCCUCCUGCCUCAGCUUCCCAAGUGCUGAGAUUACAGGCGUGUGCCACCAUGCCUGGCUAGUCUGGCUAUUUUUGUGAUGUCACAAUGUCAAGUUACUCCUGCUCACUACUUCACCAGGGAACCUACGAUGCUGACCAGUUUCCUGGUGUGUUACCUGCUUCUGCUACUGAUCCAAACUGCAGAACUUAUUCAUCCCCAUGGCCUCCAGACAGUAUCCAAUGGGGAAUCCGAUCUAAAAGGAACCAGACCUACGUUUUCCAGCCCUUCAUUCUGGUUUCUUGGACUGGAGACAUUUCUUUAAUAAUAGCGUGUCUCUGAUAUUCCCAGUAACAACUACUAUCGAGGAAAGGAUAGAAAACGUUCAGGACAUCAUCAUAUAGACUCCUCAUCUACAAAGUUCAGUAACGGUGACGCCUACACAGAAGACUUGGAACUGCAAACAGGCUGGGGUCACCUCAGUGACAUCUCUUGAUGCACAAACAGAAGUUUGAUUUUUGUUUCGGGGGUGCAGAAGGAAGCAGACUGUAGUAAAACACUAAAGUAAUUUUAUGUCUAUA